rnacentral:lncRNA from 1 species
AAAUUAAUAAAACUACAGUGUUUUGUGCAAUUUAAAAUAUAUCCAUAAUUAAUUACAUGUUACUAAUAGAGUCGGAACCGGUUACUUAUUACCGUUUAUCAUGUUUUAAUUGAUUGAUCAAUUUUAUAGAUUUGAAUACAUGUAUUAUUUGUUUUAUGUGUUUACGGUUGAAUUAGAAAAAAUGGAGAUUAAAGAAAAAUAGAAAAU